CAGAUUUGGCAUCAGGAUCACGGCUGAAGAGUCCACAUUACUGUGGCCUUCUAAAGUAUGAAGCUGAGAACUUGCAGUCAUAUUUGUUCGUUACAAACACUCCUCUGGACACAGACCAGCCGUUGUGUCAAACAGAAUAAAACAGCUGUCCUUAUAUUAUAAAUGCUGCUGGAGCUUCUACCCCCUUACCACCUAAUCUCCUCUCUGGUAAAUCAAAGUAAGGAAACACAAGAUCAGCAGGUAUGAACUCACCACCUACUGACCAAUCAGUUCUGUGGAAUAACGCCACUAUCCCUGGCAGAUCUCUGUGCAGACAGUGGGAGGGUCUGAAGUCUUUGUUUCCCUGAUGAGCUUCAUGUUGAACAUGAACAGCUUGGCAGGAUGAAGAAAACGAGACAAAACUUCAGUGUCUAAGAACAGGAUCAGAGCCUGAAGUGAGAAAUUCCUCCAUGGUCUACAUCCAGACUUCUUCAGUAGAGCCAAACUGGAUCAGACUGUCUGCCGGACUCUUACACACAUUCAGAGCUCAACAUAUACGAGCCAUCUGAGCUUUGUGUGACACUAAAUAGUUGGAUCGUGUUUACUGGCAGUGUUUUGUUGCUGUUUCAGACUCUGAAUCUGAAGCUCAGCAGUUUGUUUCCUGUUUUUCUGUCUUUAAAUUGUUCCUUACAGGUUCCUCCAUGUUUCCUCACUGUUCCUCUGAUCCAUGCAGAUCAUCAUUACAGGCAUUCAGCUUUCUUCCUCUACUCCUUUUCUCUGUGUGCCAUGUCCUGUUUGAAUCAUCCAGCUGUAGUCAGGAGCAGCUGCUCCAUUACAAACACCACAGCAGAAGAACAACACUGGAUCAGAUUAAAUUCAUAGAACAAUAAUUAUUAUAAUAUUUUAGAUCAAAACCAAAUUGACAAGUUAAAAAAGGCGAGUGAGAACAAAAAGCGUUACUAUGGACCUGUGAUCAUGCUGUUUGACAUCACUGAUCAAUCACACAGAUCAAACUGAUUGUUAUGGCCCGUCUAGGGGUGGCCAGACCAUAAUACACGGGUGAUCCAUCCCUGUGUGACCGUAAGCAGCACAUCGCAUAAUAUGUACAUUUUGAUGGCGAUUCAUUUACAAUGAGUGGGUUCAACACAAAGGAAAGGAGCGACUUUAGCUUCGGGGUGGAACUAAUGGCAAUACAACAAACAAAAGGGGCUGAAGGUGUGAUGGCAAGCCGCACAGGAUAAGCGCCACACCUCAGCAUUACUUACUUCACUUUAGUUUGCUUUGCAGUCACUACUUUAAAUAUAUUCUACUCAUUGUCCAAUGUUGUUUAUUAUUUGUUUUUAUUACACCUUCCAAUGUUUGUAUGGCGUGCACACAUAUGAACACUGCAAGGUCAAAGUUCUGUUUUAUAUUAAUACAUCUUCCUGUGUUUGAGUCAGCUGGGGUUUGGCUUCUCUCCCGUCUGGCAAAGGGCUGGGAGAGCUGAAGUACCACUGACAGCCUUCAUGCUUCGUUGCCUGGAGGGUGUUUCAAGUUUGUUUAAUUGUUUUGUAUUAGUUGGUUAUAAGGCAGCCAUUUUGUUUUCCCCCGUGUGUGUCAUGUGGUUUAGCUAAACCAGUAUUUAAGUUCCCCCGUGUGUCAUUUCAGGACGUCAGUUUGUCUUAUGUUUGUUUGAGGUUUUGUUAAUUGUUAUCUUGAGCUUAGUCUAUUGAGUUGACCUCUUUUGCUGGUCUGCCUGUUUAAGUUCUGGCUUUCUUAAAUAUCUUUUUCUACGUUUGGGUCAAUAAAACCCCAUUUUGUAAAUUAAACACCUGUGUCCUUUAUGCUUUACUGCUUGGUCCCUGAGACAAGGAUAUAAACAAACUACUCAAAGAAAUUAAACCAAAUGACAGCAGCUUACCUCCAAAACUAACAAAAACAGGAGAAAACGGUAAUCAAAUAAAAAGGCGGUCCACCCCUACAUGCACCUGUGUAAAACGAGCAUCACUAGACUGCUGGCUGUGAUGGGCCGAGGAUGAAUGGCCGUCCAUGGUGGAGUCAUCAAAUACGUUGUCUACAUGUAGUUAGCCAAUCUGCAGGUACCGUCUCCGGGAUCCACCAAUGACAGAAAUGCACCUGCACACUUAAAUUUGCACAUGAGAGACAACAUUAAGACAGCAGUCGUAACACUGAUUGAUCAGCCGUCAGAGGAGUCGGAUCAAUGGAGCUGC